AAAUUUUAAGGAUUUUUGAUGGAUGUCUUGGUAUUCAAAAGUGAUGAAGGACGUUUGUAAAUACGAUAAGUUUUAAGAAACUUUACAUGAGUUUUGAUUUAAAAAUUUCCGAAUGAGGUAACUCCAUGUACUUAUUAUAAAAUAUUUAUAAUAAAGAAUAAACUUAAUGAAUUGAAACAUCUUAGUAAUUAAAGGAAAAGAAAAUAAAAAUGAUUCCCUAAUUAGUGGUGAGCAAAAUGGGAUAUGUCUAAACUUUAAAAUAAAGUGUUGUAGGAUACAAUUAUUUACUUUUAAUUAUUAUUUUAAUUAAGCUUUUGAAAAACUGCACCAAAGAAAGUUAUAGUCUUGUUAUUAAUUUUUUAUUUUGUAAAUGUAUUCCUAAGUAGUAUGAACCACGUGAAAGUUUGUAUGAAUCAACAAGGACCAUCUUGUAAGACUAAAUAUUAUUGAAUAACCGAUAGUUUAUUAGUACCGUGAGGGAAAGGUGAAAAGCACCCCG
rnacentral:rRNA from 1 species